GACGAACGCUGGCGGCGUGCUUAACACAUGCAAGUCGAACGAUGAACUUGGAGCUUGCUCUGGGGGAUUAGUGGCGAACGGGUGAGUAACACGUGAGUAACCUGCCCUGGACUCUGGGAUAACCCCGAGAAAUCGGAGCUAAUACCGGAUAGGACCUGGAACCGCAUGGUUUUGGGUGGAAAGUUUUUUCGGUCUGGGAUGGACUCGCGGCCUAUCAGCUUGUUGGUGAGGUAAUGGCUCACCAAGGCGUCGACGGGUAGCCGGCCUGAGAGGGUGACCGGCCACACUGGGACUGAGACACGGCCCAGACUCCUACGGGAGGCAGCAGUGGGGAAUAUUGCACAAUGGGCGAAAGCCUGAUGCAGCAACGCCGCGUGAGGGAUGACGGCCUUCGGGUUGUAAACCUCUUUUAGUAGGGAAGAAGGGCUUCGGCUUGACGGUACCUGCAGAAAAAGCACCGGCUAACUACGUGCCAGCAGCCGCGGUAAUACGUAGGGUGCGAGCGUUGUCCGGAAUUAUUGGGCGUAAAGAGCUCGUAGGCGGUUUGUCACGUCUGCUGUGAAAUCCCGAGGCUCAACCUCGGGCCUGCAGUGGGUACGGGCAGACUGGAGUGCGGUAGGGGAGAUUGGAAUUCCUGGUGUAGCGGUGGAAUGCGCAGAUAUCAGGAGGAACACCGAUGGCGAAGGCAGAUCUCUGGGCCGUAACUGACGCUGAGGAGCGAAAGCGUGGGGAGCGAACAGGAUUAGAUACCCUGGUAGUCCACGCCGUAAACGUUGGGCGCUAGAUGUGGGGACCAUUCCACGGUUUCCGUGUCGUAGCUAACGCAUUAAGCGCCCCGCCUGGGGAGUACGGCCGCAAGGCUAAAACUCAAAGGAAUUGACGGGGGCCCGCACAAGCGGCGGAGCAUGCGGAUUAAUUCGAUGCAACGCGAAGAACCUUACCAAGGCUUGACAUAUACGAGAACGCCGCAGAAAUGUGGAACUCUUUGGACACUCGUAUACAGGUGGUGCAUGGUUGUCGUCAGCUCGUGUCGUGAGAUGUUGGGUUAAGUCCCGCAACGAGCGCAACCCUCGUCGUAUGUUGCCAGCACGUAAUGGUGGGAACUCAUAUGAGACUGCCGGGGUCAACUCGGAGGAAGGUGGGGAUGACGUCAAAUCAUCAUGCCCCUUAUGUCUUGGGCUUCACGCAUGCUACAAUGGCCGGUACAAAGGGCUGCGAUGUCGUAAGGCGGAGCGAAUCCCAAAAAGCCGGUCUCAGUUCGGAUUGAGGUCUGCAACUCGACCUCAUGAAGUCGGAGUCGCUAGUAAUCGCAGAUCAGCAACGCUGCGGUGAAUACGUUCCCGGGCCUUGUACACACCGCCCGUCAAGUCAUGAAAGUCGGUAACACCCGAAGCCGGUGGCCUAACCCUUGUGGAGGGAGCCGUCGAAGGUGGGAUCGGUGAUUAGGACUAAGUCGUAACAAGGUAGCCGUACCGGAAGGUGC
rnacentral:rRNA from 1 species